rnacentral:rRNA from 1 species
GAAGAGUUGCGAACGGGUGAGUAACGCGUAGGUAACCUGCCUGGUAGCGGGGGAUAACUAUUGGAAACGAUAGCUAAUACCGCAUAAGAUUGAAUAUCGCAUGAUAAUUGAUUAAAAGAUGCAAAUGCAUCACUACCAGAUGGACCUGCGUUGUAUUAGCUAGUAGGUGAGGUAACGGCUCACCUAGGCGACGAUACAUAGCCGACCUGAGAGGGUGAUCGGCCACACUGGGACUGAGACACGGCCCAGACUCCUACGGGAGGCAGCAGUAGGGAAUCUUCGGCAAUGGGGGCAACCCUGACCGAGCAACGCCGCGUGAGUGAAGAAGGUUUUCGGAUCGUAAAGCUCUGUUGUAAGAGAAGAACGAGUGUGAGAGUGGAAAGUUCACACUGUGACGGUAUCUUACCAGAAAGGGACGGCUAACUACGUGCCAGCAGCCGCGGUAAUACGUAGGUCCCGAGCGUUGUCCGGAUUUGUUGGGCGUAAAGCGAGCGCAGGCGGUUAGAUAAGUCUGAAGUUAAAGGCUGUGGCUUAACCAUAGUACGCUUUGGAAACUGUUUAACUUGAGUGCAGAAGGGGAGAGUGGAAUUCCAUGUGUAGCGGUGAAAUGCGUAGAUAUAUGGAGGAACACCGGUGGCGAAAGCGGCUCUCUGGUCUGUAACUGACGCUGAGGCUCGAAAGCGUGGGGAGCGAACAGGAUUAGAUACCCUGGUAGUCCACGCCGUAAACGAUGAGUGCUAGGUGUUAGGCCCUUUCCGGGGCUUAGUGCCGUAGCUAACGCAUUAAGCACUCCGCCUGGGAGUACGA